rnacentral:rRNA from 1 species
GGAUGGGCAUGCGUGGCAUUAGCUUGUUGGUGAGGUAACGGCUCACCAAGGCGACGAUGCCUAGGGGUUCUGAGAGGAUGAUCCCCCACACUGGUACUGAGACACGGACCAGACUCCUACGGGAGGCAGCAGUGAGGAAUAUUGGUCAAUGGGCGCAAGCCUGAACCAGCCAUCCCGCGUGAAGGAAGACUGCCCUAUGGGUUGUAAACUUCUUUUGUACAUGAAGAACGGGCCUUACGUGUAAGGUUAUGACGGUAAUGUACGAAUAAGCAUCGGCUAACUCCGUGCCAGCAGCCGCGGUAAUACGGAGGAUGCGAGCGUUAUCCGGAUUCAUUGGGUUUAAAGGGUACGUAGGUGGCCCUGUAAGUCAGUGGUGAAAACCUGCCGCUUAACGGUAGGCGUGCCAUUGAUACUGCGGGGCUUGAGUACAGAUGAGGUAGGCGGAAUGUGUAGUGUAGCGGUGAAAUGCAUAGAUAUUACACAGAACUCCGAUUGCGAAGGCAGCUUACUAAACUGCAACUGACGCUGAUGUACGAAAGCGUGGGUAGCGAACAGGAUUAGAUACCCUGGUAGUCCACGCCGUAAACGAUGCUCACUGGCUGUAUGCGAUACACAGUAUGUGGCCAAGCGAAAGCGCUAA